CAACUUUCAAAGGAUCAGAGAAUGAAUCUAGUACUGAAAGCAUACGCUAGAGCUAGCUAGCACUGCAGUGCAUACAAUGUGGUGAGUAGUUGACUCAAAGAGAAAGAAAGACAAUAGUUUAACAGUUUUCAACAAAUGAAUUUCUUCAAAAAUGAAGGCAAGAGAGAAAGAGAGAUUUCAUCAUUUUCUUUCACUUUCAGUUUCACUUACUAGCAAACUCAGCUGGCUAGUUUAGUUACUCAAACACCCGGCUCAAACAGAGGGAUGCUAUGUUAGCUAGCUGGCUAUGACUAUCCAUCACAACACUGGAACUCUUCCAAGUCAAGGCACCUCCUGAAAGUAAUCCUGAAAUGUCCACCUGCCAGGAUCAACAAUGAGAUCCUACCAUAGGGAAACAAUAAGCAGCGAGGCUGCUGGGAGCUAUGUGGUUUCCUGUUUUUUGUUGAUGAAGUCCUGCAACUAGUGAGGUACGGUCACCCGACAACCUACCCAUUUGAUCCCAUCCUCCAUUCUCCUGACCAUCUCUGGAUACCUUUUACCAUUCCUCACUUCCCUAUCAACUCAUCCCUGACCACUGGUUGCAUCCCCUCUGACUUCAAAAUGGCCCGAAUCGCUCCCAUCCUCAAGAAACCAACACCCGACUCAUCUGACGUCAAAAACUACAGACCAGUAUCCCUUAUUUAUUUUCUUUGCAAAACACUUGUGUGCUGUCUCUGACAAACUAUCUCACUAUCUCUCUCAGAAUAAUCUUCUUGACCCUAACCAGUCAGGUUUUUGUCCUAGGCUGAAAGGCUUGCCAAGAACCAUUACUGUUUACAGUUGGAAUGAUCAGUACACAGGUAUCAUUUUUCA
rnacentral:lncRNA from 1 species